UACGUAGGGGGCAAGCGUUGUCCGGAAUCAUUGGGCGUAAAGAGCGCGUAGGCGGUCCGGUAAGUCCGCUGUGAAAGUCAAGGGCUCAACCCUUGAAUGCCGGUGGAUACUGUCGGGCUAGAGUCCGGAAGAGGCGAGUGGAAUUCCUGGUGUAGUGGUGAUAUGCGUAGAUAUCGGGAGGAACACCAGUGGCGAAGGCGGUUCUCUGGGCCUUACCUGACGCUGAGACGCGAAAGCGUGGGGAGCGAACCGG
rnacentral:rRNA from 1 species